AUGCCUUGGUGGUUCAUGUUCCGGAAAGCCUGCUGCAGGUUCCGAUCAUUCCGUACUGUCAACGGUUCAAGAUUCCAGGUUCCAGGGUUCCAGUUUCAAGAUGAUUGUGAGAAGCCCCAUUUGGGAAGUGAGGCGCUGGGUCCGGAAGUUGGACGCUGGUUGGCGGAAGACGGAACUGAUAAGGACUUCCAGUGGGCGUUAAGCUCACGAGCGGCCGGAACCAGCUGGUCUUAGUGAUGACUGUGUCACCACUGGACCAGAGCAAGUUGAAGGCACCCCAAAGCGCCACAAAUCGAGGAACGCCGUACACGAGCUCACCUGAGGAGAUGCCAACGAGGCUGGUUGCUUCGACGAAGGCAGACGGAACGAAACCAUCAGCGCACGUGGUUCGACCGGCGAGGGUACGCCAAGUGCACAAACAAGGAAUGCAGGGCGGCAGAUCUGGCAGAGUACCUUGAAACGGAGGACUUAAACGGAGCGCUCAUCAAUUCAAUAUUCCUUGGAAAGAACAUCCUAGACGAGUCGGCUCGUGAUCUGGACCGGAUGCUAAGUGGUGUAGGUGAGUUGCCUUGGAGCUGGCAGACUCCCGCCGCAGUUCCGCGGCUUCUCAAAAAGCCGAUACCGCCAAAAGGCCAUUAGGCUCGAUUCGACGGCGAUUGGAAUCUGUUAACAGAAAGGUAAAAACGCAUCGCAUGCUGCUGAUGUAAACGACCGAGGUGCAAAAAAUCGUCGAGGAUAACCGGUACAUCGGUUGUGCCACGUCGGGACUAAAGGACGAUUCAGUGAUCCUACCGGGUCGAGUGUCAGAACCACCAAAUCCUGUACAAACAGUCCAGCCUGUCCAUUCAGUUUGACGACAACGAAAACCCUGGAUCGGUCAUGUGCCGUUCCUUUGUGGUGGCCAUUCUUUCUGCCGACGUUGAGAAUCGGGAACCGCAGCUUUGGCACGUGGAUCCGUACGAACGACGUCAAGACCAUCAGGUCGAGCAGCGAGGGAACCAUCCCAAAAGAGCGCCAAGAAGCAGAAACCGGAAUCACUCGUACAUGCUGAGUCGGAACCGUCGGUUAACCAAGACGGCUGGUUGUGCCGUACAUGGUCUGGAUCGAACCUAAUUCUGUUGAAGGUACGGGUGCAAUAUCAGAGGCGGCUGCUCGGCACGCUGAUGACGAACUCUGUCCCGAAAGCCACCGAGAACAUAAGAAUCACGUUUACCAGCCCACGAUAUUCACCUCUACCAGACCUACCGGGGUCGUAGCGUUACCGGCCAGUACAGUAAUUGCAAACCGGAUCUCGAUGCAGCCACCGCAGCUGGACUUCAACGUUCCGGUGCCGGCCUCGAUGGUGGAACUCUCUUCCGGUCAGCUGAUACUCUUGAGUCUUGACUAACGCCAUUCAACUGAACGCUGCCUGGCCCAGAGCGGAAGUCGGCAUGUUAGACAAGUCGCUGAUUGUCGAUUCCGCGCCGUUGCUGUACGUGGAAAAGCUCUAGACGAGAGACGAGUAGAAGAACGACUCGCAAGUGCACCAUUUGAUCGUUUUCCGACGCGACAAGAAGCCGGUCAAGAGCGCGUCAACACGCUUUGCAGCAGCAACAACAGCCUCCGUAGGAACCGACCGCGUCGCGUACGAUUAUCCCAGGCGGACAAACGCUUCUCGUGGGCCCCGUCUGGAUCGUUCUUGCACCACUACAGUGGACAGCGGGAAUCGUCCGCUCAGCGGCCUAAGCGUGAUAAGGAGUGGUGGCAGCAUGUCGGGAGUAGUAGCCGCCUUGCCUCACGCUCACGCCAAGAACAGGUCGCGGUAGGCAGUAAUCUCAAAUCAACCGAGUUCACCGUUGACGCUGGUGAAGCACCGCUCGAGGUAAAAUUCAACGAAAUCUUCGUCAACACGCUGCUGCAGCACAAUAUGACCAAGAACGAGAAUGGUCACUCCACGACAUCUACCGACAACCCUGUGUCCGUCGAGAGACGCUGCCAACGGUGCUUUUUCUACUUCAUUACGUCAUUAUGAAUGGCCCAACCGACCGGUGCUAUCCUGUCGGUCAUCUUCGAUCCACGCUGUAACGAGGUUCCGACCAAGCAGAUGCCCAGUGACAACAGUGACAUCUUCCGGAUCAUUUACACUCCGUUUGGAGCUUUUCGUCACACGAUCAACCUGCUAUACGACAGUGUCCACGUGCCGGGAUCGCCAUUCUUCUUGAACGUCAAAUCCGGAUGUGAUCCGUCGCGUUGUCGUAACUUCGGGCCAGAGCUGGGCAAGGCCUGGACUAACAACCUGCUACCUUCUGAGGAGCACAUUCCUGGAUCACCGUUCGGGAUCGUCGUCACCGGACAAGGGCAAGGUUCACGGUCCCGGAAUCUAACGAAGUCUAUGAAGAAGUUCCGAUCGAUAUAGGGGAAACGGAGUGCACUGAAUCGCUAUAUAUUAUAGGGCAAUAUGUUAACUGUUAAUCUUUAUAAAAAAUAUUAAAAACAAAGGGGAGCCUGGGUUGGGAAGCGUUUGAUUUCAUGAUAAAUUAUAAUAAAAACAAAUAAAAUUAGCUGUGAAUGAAAAAAAAAGGUUUAAAUAUUAAUUUUGGUUGAAGUUUGGUUCAACCAGAACAAAAAAAAGAAAACAUAAAGAAAAAAGAAGAAGAAGAAGCAGCUGUCAAAAGUAACCCUUCCAUUCCGUUUCGAUUCCGUUUGAAUUCCGCUUGAACCGAUUUGCGGCGAAAACUCAAACGGAACCGGUUGUUGCGUUUGAAACGGAAUGCGGUUUAGAAUCUAAAACGAACACUGUUUAGAAUUCGAAUCGAACUUUUUUCGCUCAAGCGGAAUUCUAAACGGAAUUCAAACGGAACGCGCUGAGUGGGUCAGUGAAAAACUUUUUCCAGCCAGGCCAGCCAAAAUCGCCGUCAGUCAGUCGUCAGCGGCCAUCAACUUCAGCGGCAGCAGCAGCAAGAAAAGAUUUUCCACACGGCUCAACACGAUUUUCUUGACGAUUUUUUUCAUGAUGUGUUGUCACCUGCUGCUGCUGUGUUGGUAGAAGAGAGACGGACUGAGUGAGUGAGGGGUGUGCGUGCGAGUGAGUGUGCGUAUGUGUGUGCUUACCUGACAGAAGAAGGGGGAGCAAGAGAGGAAAAAGAAGAGUUUUGGUGUGUCAGUUCGUGGAGUGAAAACUGCUCUGCCAGGCCAGCAGCCAGAAGAAAGCAAAAUUGUGACACGACACGGCUGGAAAUGUGGAAAUUGGGCUGGUUUUCCACCUGACACGGUAGCAACGAAAACGCACGGAAUUCGUCCAGGUUCGAGCCGUCGUCGGUCCGGCCAGGUGUAACGCGCCCGAGAAGUGGGGAAAAAAGUGGCCACAAAAAAAAACGCGAUAUUUUUUUGUGUUGGUAAUGUUUUAAGUUAGGCAAAAAAAAAGAA